rnacentral:rRNA from 1 species
CACGGAGGGUGCGAGCGUUGUUCGGAAUCAUUGGGCGUAAAGCGCGUGUAGGCGGGUCCGCAAGUCGGGUGUGAAAUCCCAUGGCUUAACCAUGGAAUGGCGCCCGAAACUGCAGGUCUUGAGUACGGGAGGGGGAAGUGGAAUUCUUGGUGUAGGGGUGAAAUCCGUAGAUAUCAGGAGGAACACCGAUGGCGAAGGCAACUUCCUGGACCGAUACUGACGCUGAGACGCGAAAGCGUGGGGAGCAAACAGGAUUAGAAACCCUAGUAGU